AAUUCCUAGAGGAUCCUGGCUGGGGGCUACUAGUUGCUGGCAGGAGGCCGGGAGGCGGAGAGGGCUCAGAUAAAGAUCAAGGUCAAUGAAAGGAGAAGCAACAAAUACAAGCUAGUCGGGACAGAGAGAAAAGGAGGGCAGAAACACCCAGAGAGGAGGACACGAGACCCCCUUCAGACCCCUCAGGCUGGGAGGAGACACCGGCUCAGCCUAGAGCUCCCUCUCUGGGGGCAGAAACGUGAGGCACCCACAGGGCAGAAGAGGAGUAAGAAACUUAUUAACAAGAGCACAUUAUUCAUAGCAGUGACUGAGAACCAAAUUCCUGGCAAAGCUUGAACAACUGUGGCAAAAACCUGCCCGGAGUGCUUCCUGCCUUCUCACUGAGAUUCAGAAUAAACACUUCCUAAAGCCUUGUCGUCACCACACAAUGUGUAGGAGCUUCUAUAUACAGUGGAUUCUCAUUAGUCCCUGUAGUUAUGUUCUAUACAGUCACUGCAAACACUCACUGAGCUAGCAAAUACCGAACAGUUGUUUCUGGGGGAAUUGCAGGGUUAAGUUCCUGAGAGCCCCUGGUUACAUUUUCAUCAACCCAUCAAUACACAACCUCCUUUUAUGUAUGCGUGCUUGUGUUUAGUUAAUAGAUACUGCUGAUCCAUCAACAUCAAAUUCACGGCUGAGGGGCACUAUAACUCACACCUGAACCAAACCUACCUUACACCUGUAUUUUCUCUCAAGGCACAUCACAGCAGUCUCGUGCUUAGAACAGUAGACAGCACUUCAGCACUCUGCUUAGGCCCAUUUUAAACAGCAAAAUCAGGGGCGCCUGGGUGGCUCAGUCGGUUAAGCGGCCGACUUCGGCUCAGGUCACGAUCUCGCGGUCCGUGAGCUCGAGCCCUGCGUCAGGCUCUGUGCUGACAGCUUGGAGCCUGGAGCCUGUUUCGGAUUCUGUGUCUCCCUCUCUCUGACCCUCCCCCGUUCAUGCUCUGUCUCUCUCUGCCUCAAAAAUAAAUAAACGUUAAAAAAAAAAAUUUAAACAGCAAAAU